rnacentral:rRNA from 1 species
GACGAACGCUGGCGGCGUGCCUAAUACAUGCAAGUUGAGCGCUGAAGGUUGGUACUUGUACCAACUGGAUGAGCAGCGAACGGGUGAGUAACGCGUGGGGAAUCUGCCUUUGAGCGGGGGACAACAUUUGGAAACGAAAGCUAAUACCGCAUAAAAACUUUAAACACAAGUUUUAAGUUUGAAAGAUGCAAUUGCAUCACUCAAAGAUGAUCCCGCGUUGUAUUAGCUAGUUGGUGAGGUAAAGGCUCACCAAGGCGAUGAUACAUAGCCGACCUGAGAGGGUGAUCGGCCACAUUGGGACUGAGACACGGCCCAAACUCCUACGGGAGGCAGCAGUAGGGAAUCUUCGGCAAUGGACGAAAGUCUGACCGAGCAACGCCGCGUGAGUGAAGAAGGUUUUCGGAUCGUAAAACUCUGUUGGUAGAGAAGAACGUUGGUGAGAGUGGAAAGCUCAUCAAGUGACGGUAACUACCCAGAAAGGGACGGCUAACUACGUG